rnacentral:lncRNA from 1 species
AGGCAAAGGUAUAUAUGUGCAUGCAUUGAGUAUGUUAGAUGUGCCUCGAAAUUCUGAUUAUCGAAUUCAAUUUUGUGCUCCUGAUUCAUCGACAGUUUCGCGGUGCAACAAAUUCGGAAAGAAAUUUGUGAAGGAGUUGGCAGCGGAGGGCUCGGGCCGACAGGAAUUUCUUUCGUCUUUUGCCUAGAUGUGAUACAGCGUAUUGUACUCACAAAAAUUUUGAACUCCUUUUUUUUUGUAGUGAAGUUCUUAUUUCCACCUUCACCCGUAGUCUUUUCCCUGUAGAGAAUUUUUUAUAUAAAUCUUUGUGUUCUAUUUAUUUUACUGUUUCUAUGGUUUGUAUACGCGAUCGUUUUUUGUCGUUUUUAUUUGUGCGCUAGUUGUAACUGAAUAAAGAGACAAAGGAGAAGAGAGGG